GUCACUAUAGCUCAGCGGUAGAGCUUUCGACUGCAGUGACUUCAUGCCUUCGAAGGGUCCUCGUUUCGAUUACGAGUGGUGACU
rnacentral:tRNA from 1 species